CAGCCGCCACGGGAAUACGGAGGGUGCGAGCGUUAAUCGGAAUUACUGGGCGUAAAGCGUGCGCAGGCGGUUUGUUAAGCGAGAUGUGAAAGCCCCGGGCUCAACCUGGGAACCGCAUUUCGAACUGGCAAACUAGAGUCUUGUAGAGGGGGGUAGAAUUCCAGGUGUAGCGGUGAAAUGCGUAGAGAUCUGGAGGAAUACCGGUGGCGAAGGCGGCCCCCUGGACAAAGACUGACGCUCAGGCACGAAAGCGUGGGGAGCAAACAGGAUUAGAUACCCGUGUAGUCCCUGUCUCUUAUAC
rnacentral:rRNA from 1 species